CCAAUGUGGAUAACCAUUUGAGGUUGCUCUCUAAUGGCUCUGUCCAUGUGGCUUAUGGGAGCAUAGCAUUGAAUGCAGUGAUGUACAUUCCUGUUCCACACCGUUGGAGAGCAAGUUUGCCUUGCACUUUCUGGUUAGCGAGGACAGCAUCCUGUAUAUUCCUAAAACUCCUCAGAGUCUUUGGGCAGUUACUGAGGAGACAAACCAUGCAGGAUACAGAC